UCAAUGUUAAAAAAAUCGUUAGGCGCUAGUUAGGCUUUCGAUAGAAGCCUUGAGCCUAUAUCGAUCAGUGCCUAGGUCAAUUUUUUAAACAUUGU
rnacentral:pre_miRNA from 1 species